GGCUUGAUAGCUCAACUGGUCGAGCACUGCAACCCGUAUCACAGGGGUUAGGGGUUCGAAUCCCAUUCAAGCCU
rnacentral:tRNA from 1 species